UAAGUCUCAGAAGUUUAAUAAGUCUCAGUAGUCUCAGAAGUUUAAUAAGUCUCAGUAGUCUAAGAAGUUCAUACGUGAGCUUAAAAUGGUUAAUGAGCAUAUAGACACGAAAAGUUUACAUGGCAUACGAGAUUAACAAGCAUCAAAAUUGUUUCAUGUUUAAAAAUGGAUAGAGUGUGCAUAUAACAAGUUUCAAGCGUUGCGUGUUUUUAGAUAGAAUACAUGUUGCACCCAAAAGUGAUAAAAUAAAAAUG
rnacentral:lncRNA from 1 species